CCGGCCUCUAGAGUUGUUGCAGUUUGGUUUGCUGUAUCACAUGUGUGUCAGUAGGUAGCAGAGUGAAAAGAGGCUAUGUCACAGCUCAGCGUUCUGACCUGAAGACAUCUGAAUGAUUCCUGGCGUAACAUU
ensembl:snoRNA Gm22599 predicted gene, 22599